UACGUAGGGGGCAAGCGUUGUCCGGAAUCAUUGGGCGUAAAGCGCGCGUAGGCGGCCCGGUAAGUCCGUUGUGAAAGUCAAAGGCUCAACCUUUGAACGCCGAUGGAUACUGCCGGGCUAGAGUCCGGUAGGGGAGUGUGGAAUUCCCGGUGUAGCGGUGAAAUGCGCAGAUAUCGGGAAGAACACCCGUGGCUAAGGCGGCUCUCUAGUACGGUACUGACGCUGAGACGCGAAAGCGUGGGGAGCGAACAGG
rnacentral:rRNA from 1 species